rnacentral:rRNA from 1 species
UGGGGGAUAUUGCACAAUGGGGGAAACCCUGAUGCAGCGACGCCGCGUGGGUGAAGAAGUAUUUCGGUAUGUAAAGCCCUAUCAGCAGGGAAGAAAGAAGACGGUACCUGACUAAGAAGCCCCGGCUAACUACGUGCC